CCUAUGAAGCUUUACUGUAACCUGAAAUUGAAAUCGGACUUUAUUCGCGCAGUAUAGGUGGGAGGUAUUGAAAAUAUUCUUGCGGGAGUAUUGGAGCCAUCAGUGAGAUACCACUCUUGUAAUGUUAGGUUUCUAACUUUGAACCAUUAUCUGGUCAAAGAACAGUUUCAGGCGGGCAGUUUGACUGGGGCGGUCGCCUCCCAAAUGGUAACGGAGGCGUACAAAGGUUUCCUCUGAACGUGUAGAAAUCGUAUCUAGAGUGUAAAGGCAUAAGGAAGCUUGACUGUGAGACCUACAAGUCGAGCAGGGACGAAAGUCGGUCUUAGUGAUCUGACGGUACUGAGUGGAAAGG
rnacentral:rRNA from 1 species